UACGAAGGGGGCUAGCGUUGCUCGGAAUCACUGGGCGUAAAGGGUGCGUAGGCGGGUCUUUUAAGUCAGGGGUGAAAUCCUGGCGCUCAACUCCAGAUCUGCCUUUGAUACUGAGGAUCUUGAGUUCGGGAGAGGUGAGUGGAACUGCGAGUGUAGAGGUGAAAUUCGUAGAUAUUCGCAAGAACACCAGUGGCGAAGGCGGCUCACUGGCCCGAUACUGACGCUGAGGCACGAAAGCGUGGGGAGCAAACAGGAUU
rnacentral:rRNA from 1 species